rnacentral:rRNA from 1 species
AUACAGAGGGUGCGAGCGUUAAUCGGAAUUACUGGGCGUAAAGCGCGCGUAGGCGGCUUGGUCAGUCGGAUGUGAAAGCCCUGGGCUCAACCUGGGAAUUGCAUUCGAUACUGCCAAGCUAGAGUAUGGGAGAGGGAAGUGGAAUUUCCGGUGUAGCGGUGAAAUGCGUAGAUAUCGGAAAGAACACCAGUGGCGAAGGCGACUUCCUGGCCCAAUACUGACGCUGAGGUGCGAAAGCGUGGGGAGCGAACAGGAUUAGAUACCCUAGAAGUCC